rnacentral:rRNA from 1 species
UACGUAGGGCGCAAGCGUUGUCCGGAAUUAUUGGGCGUAAAGAGCUCGUAGGUGGCGUGUCGCGUCUGCCGUGAAAGCCCCAUGGCUUAACUGUGGGUCUGCGGUGGAUACGGGCAGGCUAGAGGCUGGUAGGGGCAAGCGGAAUUCCUGGUGUAGCGGUGAAAUGCGCAGAUAUCAGGAGGAACACCGGUGGCGAAGGCGGCUUGCUGGGCCAGUUCUGACGCUGAGGAGCGAAAGCGUGGGGAGCGAACAGG